rnacentral:sRNA from 1 species
UUUCUAGUUAAAAAAAAAUUGAAAAAA